CAGGAGAAUAUUUCAUCAACGGUUCUCAGGAUAGAGGUGUUGAAGCAACGCCUGCAGAAUCUAAAGUCACCAAUCAAGAUGAUUUUCAGAGAUGGACAGACAAAUACAGAAAAUGGCUCUCGUUUGCGGUGUCAGUUUUUUGAUGAAUACGAUUCAGACUGGGGAUGGAAACCCGAUGGAUGUGAAACACAAAUUGACCAAAACAACAUUACGU